UUUCCUUUUUUUUAACCCGCGCGAUACAACGAAUCGAUAAUUAAAAAAAAAGUAAAAAAUACCGACCAAAAAAGAAAAAAACGGUGAUGAAAAAAAUAAUGGUAAAGGAUGAAAUGUACUUAGUGGUGAACGAAGAUAAUAGCUGAAGGAAGAAGAAAAGGAAGAGGAAGGACUUGAGCUGAUUCGAGUUGGAAUCCACACUCAAUAAUGAAGGAAAAAUUACCAUGUGAUAAUUUUAGAAAAAAUAAUGUAUAAAUAUAGAAGAUAGAUGGAUAUUGUUGGAGAGAUAAAGAUAGUUUAAUAUGUUGUAUACUAAAAUUAAUAAUAAGUAGAAAGAGAAAUAACUAAAUUUCUAUUUAUAAGGGGACAAAAAGGCGAAGGAAAACGAAAAAAAAAAAGAAAAAAGAAAAAGGGGGGGCGGCUAAAUUUACGAAUCUGCCACUCCGGCGCACCGCUUGAGCAGGGCGUCGUGGCGCUCGGCGGAGUCGGCGGCGAAGUCCGCGAGCGAGCCCGCCGCCGCCGACAUCCCCGCGCAGAGCACCCUUCCCGCCAUCUCCGCCGCCAACCCCCUCCCCUCCGCCGCCGCCGCCGCCGCCGGAGAAUUUUCCGGCGAGCCCACCACCACGNGGCGAUCGACCCGAUCCCCGCCGCGAAGAAGUCGAGCCCGUCCAUCGCCCCCGCCUCGCUCGCCGCCUCCAGGACCCGCGACCAGUGCACGCACGCCGCGAACGCCGCCGGGGGCGGCGGCGCCGCCGCACCGUCGCCGGAGGCGGCGGAGCAGCAGCGGAGGGACCAGGAGGAGAGGGCGCGCGCGUAGGAGCGCUGGGCGGAGAUCCACGCGGCGAGGGCGGAGCGCCAUGCUCGGAGCUCCGCCUCUAGGGCAACGGCGGCGGCGGCGGCGGCGCUCGGCGGAGGGGGAAAGGCAAAGGAGAAGGAGGAGGAGGAGAAGAAGAGGGGCUUGGCCUCGUCUAUAAUGCGCCGUUGAAUGCGGUGGCACUCCGCCAUUGUCCUCCACAUCCUCGCUAACCUGCGUCGGAGACAAAAGCAAAAAGAGAAGAGGUUACUAACACUACUGGUGAUCUCUUUCUUUUCUACAGCAAUCAAAAUUAACAACUCAUUAGAUGAUCUAUUUGAUUACGUAACAUAUUUUUGGAUCUAUUCGAAGGUUAUAGUAACAAAGUGCAAGAAUUUUACUGAAUGAAAUACCAACUGCAAAUAAAUGACAUUGUGAUUAUCUCUACUCAUGUCAGAUAUCUCAUUUGUUUGUAAUAGUUUGCUACAUUUUUAUUAGGUUAUUGUGUUGCCUCAUAUUCACAUGCUUGAUUCUACUAUUGGCAGUUUAAAAAGGAAAAAGAAUGACUCUUAUCUACAAUAAAAUGCUUCUGCAUAGUUUGCUUUUCAGUAAAACAACUUCUACGAUUGAUUUGACGUAAAAAGUGAACAUUGUAAUAGAUUAUCUCUUAAUUCUAGCCAUAGACAGUUUUACGAAAAAAGUAGAGUAGGAACAUACCCUUGUAUCAAUUCCAUAAGCUGCGGGUGCAACUCCUCGUCCCUUAAAACCUCGAUCCUUUUCGACACGGAUUGAACCGAGUGUAUCGACACUUUUAAUCGGGUAUGUAGGUCUCUUAUGGCUGCUCUGGCUUUAUCAACAGCACCAGGUUCUCCCCCAUUCGCAUCUAGGCUCCUCAGCUGCUUCAGUUUCUUCUCGUAUGCUAUUCUUGUUCGCUCGCCGGCCUAAACAGGAAAAGCACGUUAAAAUUCAUUGCAAAACAUCAGAGAUCUAGAGCUCCUUUUCUAUUGAAGAGACGGCCCACAUUUGGUUUUUUGCAGAAACAUUUCUUUUUUUCUAUUUCGCAACUUUAGCUCAUGUUCUAAGUCUUAAGACCACGAUGCAAAUUUUUAUGGUCAAUGCAUAGUUUUCAAAAAUAUGCCGCUGUAAAUCAAAAUUUUUGCGUCAUGGCUUUUGCAGAUCGGCAGUUUGGUUCUAGAAGUUGAAAAUUGAGCUAAAGUUACAAACCUGAGGAGACUAUCACGUUUUCGCAUAUUCAUAAAACAAAAGUAUUCUUUUCUCUUCUUCUUUUUUUUUUUUUUUUUCUGUUGCGUAAAAAGGCCUUGAUUCUGACUUACUAUUAAGGUUUACCUUUACUUCCUCAUAUAGUUUCCUCUCCCAUACAUACAAUCUAUCUAAAGUUGAUUGGUGGCUCCCAGAUAUCAUGCAAGAGUCGUCGGAGUAACUGCUACUGCUCUCGUAGCCAUCAUCUCUUGAGCUGGACGAAGUGUGAAAGAAUCUCGAAGAUGAUGAUCGAGACGAAGCCGAUCGGAUCAAUGCAAUAGGGUUCAUCAUUUUCACUGCGUGUUGAUGAAGAACAAGUUAAGCGGGUUCAAAGAAAAGCUAUCAAAGCAUUUAACUGUAAAAUUUCAGGUAAAUCGCAUCGGAGGCACUCGAAUUUUUAUGCUAUUUUAGUUCAUCCCGAACUUUGCAAUGCUAUAAUUGGGUCCCUAACUUUUGCAUGCUGUUGCAGAUUUAUCUUUUCUGUGUAAUUCCCAUGUUAGUUUGGAUGGAACUGUCCACAUAAGCACCACAUAGGUGUCACAUAAGUGACAAUUCGGCUUCACAUUUGUGUGUUGGGAUUUUAUUCAUUUAGGCGGCAGGUAAAUAGCAAUUACCUGGUACCUAAAUGGUCAUUUCCAUCCGAUUUAACAGUCAGCAUAGUAGAUAAAUUUGCAACAACUAAAAAGUUGGAACCAAAUUGAACAAUUCGUCCUAAAUAUUACAAAAUUUGUUUGGUUUCUAGCAUCAAAAUCCAUGAAUAUACCAGCAAGUUCGCUUGAAUUUGACGAAUACUGAGCUCUACUCGCCUCCAACAUCACUGAAACCUCGUGAGCAGCAUCGCAGAUCCUCAUAAACUGUUCCUCAAUUCUCUUCACAACCUCUUUAAUACUUGUUGGCCUCCGAUUCAAAUACACAGUAAAACCGGGAGUUUCUUCUCCGCCUCCUCUGCUUACCACCACAUCCUUCUCUUUCUUAAUGUUGACUUCCACCCCCUCGCUUUCUUUCGACACUUCAACACUCUGCACACCUCUGGACCGAAAUUCCUUCACUACUUGCUUUGUGUUGUUAGCGUGAAAUUUAUCUUCAGAAGGAUUCUCAUUAGCCUCAAAUUUCACUUUGUCGUUUUUGACAUCUAUCUCGACAAAUUCUUCUUCCUGUUGUUCUUCUUGUUGUUCUUCCGCUUCCUGUUCUUCGUCGGUUACUUCCUCUUCAAGCUCGGGAAUCCCUUCUUCCUCUCUGACUUGCCUGAGCCUCGCGAGGUCAUCGUCAUCUAGAGCUCUCUCAUAGCUGCUCAAAAUAGGAUAUCCCUGAUUCUCGAUCGAAGAGAACGGGUUCCAAAAGAAAUCCCAUUGCGAGUCUUGAGGCGAAGGCGGAGGGUACCUCGCCCUAUCAUCAUAGUCCAUUGUGAAGAACGAUGAAGAAUUGUUCAUCGGCGAACCCAAAAAACCGUCCAUUCCAUAGUAAUUUCCCGUAGGGUAAUAAGAGUUAAUCCUUAUAGUUUCUGUCGGCGGAGGCCGUUCUUCAACAGAAACCGAUGAAUUCGCGCUUGACUUUAAAUACUUUGAGAUGUGAAAAUUUCUCUUCUCAGACAAAUUCGAAGGGAUUUUAUCGAUGUCGUGGCUCAAUCUUUUCACAGGAGUUAUGUACGAGUCCAAGAAGAGGAAAUCAUGGUGAUCAUCGUCGCAUUCGACGAACUUGUUGAGGGCCAUCGAUACUCGUUUAAGCGACUGGAGGUAAGAGAUGUGGUUGGAGGCGAAUCGAAUUCUUUGCUCGACCGCCUGUUUGAUGAAAUUUUUCCGAUCUCUGCAGAGCCGGACAGCUUCUUCAUCUUCUAGCCGUGAAGCGGAACAUCCCAUCUCUUCGAAGGCCUCUUAAGAAUGCUUCAUACUUCAGAUCAGAGCAAGCCAGUUGGAGGAUUCAGUAAGUACUCUUUAUAGAGAAGUUAAUACUCAGAUUUUAAUCUAUAUGCAGGUAAUAUGAUAAGGAGUUUCAGAAAAACAAGAGUAGUUUAAUGUUGAAGAUGCUAAAUGAAACAAAAAUAAUGUUAUAAUCUAAAGAUUGAGAAGAGAAAUUCUAGAAGUAAAAUAAAGAAAUAUUAUGUCAGAGCUAGGAACACAUAAAAGAUACAAGAGAUAAACAAGAAGACCAUAAUUUACUAAUAUUACGUCAGAGCUAGGAGCACAUCAAAAGUAGAACAUGGUGAAUAUCAAAGGGAAGUUAAAUGAAACCAUCUACACAAAAUUAAAUGAAAAAGUGGAAAAGGAAGCAUUUGAUGCUUAAAAAAAAAAAAAAAAAAAGGAAGAUCUAAUCACAUGCUAAGUUACAGUUUUGAACUGUAGAGAAACUUACAAAAAAAAAAAAAAAAAAGGAGAAAAAAAAGAGGAAAAGCUAGAUAGUUAUGUACCUUUCUUAAUACUCCUUGAAUCAAAACAGAGAUAGCUUCAAAUAAACACUAAAACAAGCCCCAAAAACAUUUUACUGAUGAAAAGAAGCUUCUUUGAGAAGAACAUAUCAUUCUAAUGCAUCAAUGAACCAUCUUUAGGUUGAAAAAACAAGGACAUAAUUUUUUUUAAAAAAAAAAAUAAGCAUCAAGAAAAAUGAAGGGCUCAACCACUUAAUUGAGUUUAAAAGAAGGAAAAAUAAAAGAAAAAAAAGAAGCUGAUAGCAUUGGAAUGCUGAAUUGUACUGUUAAUGACUUUAAAGUGGAAGAAGCAAAACAGGACAAAAUUACAGAGACACUAAACAGUAACAAAAUAAAAUAAAAUCAAAAUAAAACCAUUAAAUUAAAUUGGAAUUAAAAAAAAGGGGAACAUACACACUUUAUAGUCUCAUGGUUGAGACAAAUAUAUUAAAAAAAUCAGGGAAAAAAAUCCAAUUUUGGUUGUAAUAAGAUUACAACAAUACCUGGGUUGUGAAAGAAGAGAUUGAUGAGAGAGAAAUUGAUGAGAUAGAGAGAGAAAGGGUAGAGAGAGAGAGAGAGAGAGAGAGAGAGAGAGGGAAAGAGCUUACACUACUGUGGCAGAGAGAGAGUGAGAUCUAGGAGUGGGGGCAACGGUCAAAACGAGUUGAAAGGAGAAAUUCCAGCUCAGGAGAAAAAAGGAGAGCACGGGAGGGGAGUGAGGAGAGUGUGGGUUAUCUCAAACUAUGCCCCUGGACUUGAAGGAAAUCACAGGAAUGCCCCUCCCCCUCUUCCUAUUUAUUAGUUACCAAUGUGAGUCCACGCACAUAGCCGUUGCAUUUUGUAGCGUCGAUUCUAAUCGUACGGCUGAGAAAAGUCACAUAUUGAAGAGGAUGAAAUCUCGGCCGUAUAUUUGGAACAGUAAGUAAUACUGUACGAGGAUUAAAGCGUGCGAAGAGAACUGAUGCCUUUCUUGGGAAUUAAUUGUACGUUACAGCACGUCUUUUGCUUUUUUCCACAAAUGCCCCUCCGUGUGCUCCUCACCAUAGUCCUAGCCCAGGGGUAGAUUCGGGAUUUUCCUGUUUCAAAAUUUAAACCUCAUUUAAGGAUGUUUUUAAUGGGUUUUUUAGUAGAGGAUUUGGGAGAGAUUUUUUUUUUUCAUUUUUGGGUGAAAUUAACAAAAUGCACCCCGGAAAAGGUGCGCCUUUGAAAGGGAUGCAAAGUGAGGCAACAAGGCAUGGGAAUUUUCAAAAAGAUAAAGUGGUGGAAAGCAAAAGUGGGUAAUAAAAAAAAAAAAGAAAAAGAUUCUCGUGUCCAUCUAUAAAAAAGCUAUGUUUGGUGCCUUUAAUUAGGGGAGGGGGGGUUCCUUGUUAAGAAUUAUAUACCAAUUUUGGACUUAUUUGCAAAAAAGCCCCUUGUUAUUGAUCUUUCCUAGUUUUGCCUAAUAAUGAACGCAUUUAAGCAAGUUUAUAUUUAGCAUCAUUAGGUGGGAAUUCCGAUGCAAACCCGCUCUAAUUUAUCGGAUUCGGAUCCCAAGAACCAUCCCUCCAUCCCAAAAAAGAAACCCAAAAAAAAAAAUUCUUAAUUACCCCAAUGCUUUGGAUUUUCUUAAAAAAAUGUGCACAUUCUUAGGUUUAGCGUAAGUGAUAAUCUAUUAGAUUUGGAUUGAAUGAUCCAAUAACUAAACGUUAUUUUUCAAUAUCUUAGUCUCUUUUCUUUUUUAUUUUUUAUUUUAGGUCGCAAAUCAUAUUCAUAUCCAUACAAGAGUUUGUUUACCUUUUUGAAGUUUACUAAUCAAGGGCCCAUCUCAAUAACUAUUAGCGAGUUAAAGAUGAGCAAAAUUGUUUUCCAUUUCUCGAUUUGUUUCGUUCUAUCACAAUUACUGAAAAAUGGUGAAUAAUUGGACAAAAUAUUAAGCCAAAAAAGAAAUUCAUGAAUAAGUCACCCCCACUUUUUCUCAAAUUUUCAUAAAGAAAAGGGCCAUGGUCCCCAUCAUUGACACAUCACAACACAAAAUUAUGAAAUUAUUGUUUAUACCCGGUCCACGACGUCAGCUAUGCAUCGCAAUCUCAUCUCCCUUUAUCUCAUCUCCACUUUCAAUUUUAUUUGAAAAAUACAUAAUUUGGUGAAAUACGUUUAAUGUCUAGUGUGGCGCACAACUGAUGUGGUGCGCCGGGUGCGCGCAAAAGUUCUCCUUCCAUAGGAUGCCACUACAUAAAAAGGGUAUUAUUAUGUACUAUACAUAUACUAUUCACCUCUAGUUAGAUCCAUACCACACUGAAAAAAAAAAAAAAAAAAAAAAUCGCAACCAUGUCUUAAUUUUAGGACACACGAAGAAUCUUAUCUUGUUGUUACCAUUGAUGGUAGGGAUAUGCACAUCCAAACGUAAUUAAGGCACACACAGAGCACAUGUGAAUCUAUUGUGCAAAACUACAAGGUUAGUACAUACACCCAUCGACAAAAUAAAAUGAAUUGGUUCUGUACGGAACGUAGAAGCUACUAUAUUUUGUUGGGAUUAUAUAAACUAGCGAGUGGCCCAUUAGAGAGGGUCCAAUGUUUGUACAUGGGAUUUAGCUGGUGUUCAUAUUACAAACAAAGUUCUUUUUGUUUGCUUACAAAAGUGGUACAAAGGGGGGCAAUAAACAAAUAUGACAGUUCUUGGCCCACCCUUAUGGUAACUAAAUAUGCUGUUCUCUUAUUUAUUUAAUAAAUAGAGAUUUAAUUUAAAAAAAAAAGUAGGCUUUACAAAGUUACACAUGUCUCAAUCGAUCGUUAAGAGUAUAAUAAAGUUAUAGUAGGUAUAGUAUAUAAUAUGUAGGAUAAACUGUGCAAUAAUAAAGUUUGGAAGAGGUUUUUGUGUUCUAGCCAAAACCCCCCCCUAUAUAUCUAUCUAUCAAAUAACAACGUAGGGAACUUUUUAGCUUUUGACUUAAUCCCAAGCUUCACCAAUUGUGACAUAUUACAAACUACAACAUUUGCAUGCAAUUUCAUCUUACGAGGGCUACUUUUAUUUUCAAUUACAAUAUCCCAAGCAUGUUUAUCUUGUUGUGACACUCUUUAAAGUGCAUCAAGGAAAUAUGUCAAGGAAAAAUAUAAGUCAUGUUUGUUGUCACACUAUGAAUGUUAAACUAAUAAUAACACCACCUUGGUGGAGUAAAUUAAUGCAGCUUUGGCUAAGGAAAAAUAAGGUAAUAAACAAGUGUAAUCUAACUCUGAAGUUCAUUACUUUAACAGAUAAUGAAGUUAAUCAGAUACCCAUUUCCAGCCAACACAAUUGGUGACAAUGAUGAGGAUAAAAUAUGAGGCAAUUUAACAAGUUUCCCCUUCUAAGAACAUUGGCUUUGCUAGGGUACUGCAUUAGAUAUGUUUCUGGUUUCUUCUGCUUACCAUUUACAUAUAAUAAGGCAGCCAAAUUCCUAAUCGAUAAAAAUACUAGUAGUAAAUCCUACAGCAGGAAAUCGGGCAUAAAAAGGCUCGAGGAAAUAGAUACCAUCAACAAGGGAAAAGGAUCGGAGAACCAUCCCUUCGGAGCCUGUUAUCGGAGAGAUCGAGCUUGCUCAUCUUCUCCUCGCACCAUAACAGCUGCUCUUUACUAAGCCUCGCCAGCCUCAAAACCCUAGAAAUGACUUUUAUGUCCACGAGAGCAAAGAGGAGUUCCACCUCCUCCCACGUUGCCGGCCAGGUCUUUUUCUUGUAUCCUUUCUUCUUUUUGAACAGCUCUUUCACCUUCAUCUCCUUCUGUGGAGAUAUGGAACAACGGACUGUUAAAAUCUGAUAUUUUAAAUUCUGAUAGAGUUAUUCACAUGGAUAACCCCUAUGGAUAUAUAUCGAAAAGCCUAAUUUGGAUAGAUGCAAAUAGAUGACUUCCUGUGGAUAUAAUCAAAAGGCCGCAUUCAGAUAUCUUCACAAGGUAGUUGUCAAAUCAGAAAGAAUACAAAAGAUACCUACUUAGGUGUCGGUUCAGAUAUGCAGCAGAGCUUUGCCAAAGGACAAGUAUAAGGUAAGUUCGUUAAGAGAGAAAGAAAUUAAGAACUGUUGGAAAAGAAGCUUUUCCCCACUGAUAUGCAAAGAAGCCUUUUCGAUCAAUUUAUUGCAUUAUAGAGCAUGCAGCAGAGUUCAGACACAGAUCCUAAGGGAUAUUCGUAGGAUGUUGGAGUUUUGGGCUGAAAAAUUCUAGUGGUUUUUUUCUAGUAGCCUCAGUUUUUGUUGCCUAGUUCAUUUUCCUAAUGAAUGAAUCAAAUAGUAUACUAACUUUUCUCAAAACGAAAAGGAAAAGGAAAAAGAGUAGCAGCACACCUUAUCAAGAGAAGCUUGAACCUGUUGAAGGGAGCUUCCUGCAUGGCUAUGGGCCCCAUAAAAGGAAUCUGAUUUUUUCUUGUCCUUCUUUAUGAAAAGACGGAAGGUUAGGAUCGACUCCUCCAUUACUUUUAUGAGAUCAGGGGCUAAAAUUGCCUGUUCCAUGUUGUCCUCUGCAUUUCCAUUUUGAUCCGAACCUGAGAGUAUUUAUUCUGAAAAUUAUAGUACCAAAAACUUGAUCUCCUAAAAGAAAGUUUCCUCGACUUCAGCAACAAAAUGACAAUAUACAAAUUUAAAGUCUAUACACAGCACUAACACAAGUUUCCACAUUAAAGUUAAACCACAACUCAGUAACAAUAUGUAGCCCAUUUCUUAUCCAGAUUACAUGUAAUAUGAAGUACUCCUUAUCCAGAUUAGGUAACUUACCAUAAUCAACAUGCACAGAAUUUCCGGUGAAGUUAGUUCCUUGCAUUUAAAACCUACCCUAACCACUAUGCAUGACUAUGGUACAAAAGAUUGUAAUAACAUGCAAAUAAACACCAUAAAUCAUUCAUGUUAUACUCUUCUCCGAGUAAGUAGUCUCCGUUAAGAAAGGUAACGAAAAAGAAAUAGUAGUAUAGAAAGUAGAAAACAUAUAUUUGACUCUCAAAAAUAAAGAGAAUAAUAGAAACCAUGUUCUAACUUCCAAAGAUGAGCAUAAGAAGGAUAAAGAACUCGCUAUAUGCAGUUAGCAAAUGUGUCGUCCAUUGUGCGCUCAAUUGAAAGGACAAGAUCAGACAACAACAGGUUUUGCAAUUUAAAUCAUAUUCAAAGAUACCAUAGGCCAUUUUGACCUUUUAGAAACCUUUGACUUCUUCUGAACAAAAUUUAUACAUGCUUUUACUCACCACAGACCAUUUUGCCCUGACAGUGCCAUGCAUACAGUCAUAAAUGGCUUAGGAGGGUGAUCAAUGCUAUUUCUUAUGCAUUUAAUACCAGUAAAUUUUCUAUUACAAAAUUAAUCUUCCAUUAAAUUAAAUACUCAAAACUUGAUAUAUGCUAAUUGAGCAAGUACACACUAUAUGAUGACCUAAGAAGAUAUCGAAAUAAAUUAACUUACGGUAAAGUAUAACAUGAAAAUGAUUUUAGUCAAGUUUGCGCUAGGAGACAAUUCUGAAGCCAAUAUAAGCUUUGAUUAACUUUCCGUGAGAGAGAGAGAGAUCUAUUACAUUAUAGAAAUGAUUAACAAUAAAAUAAACAUAAGAGAUUUCUCAUAAUUUACCUUGAAAAGUAGGAACCUGAAGUAACUUGGAGAAAGAACUCCUCGUCCGGGCAUAAAUCUUGACCCUUGAACCCUCUUCGAAGGGCUCAUUUUCAAUAAACCUCUGCAAAAGCACUUGAAACUGCUGAAACAAUUGAGCAGCAUGGCUAUAUGAGGUCGGAUUCUCAGGCUGUGACGAGAUCCUCAGACUCAGCUGCACAUACUGGCAAUGGAGAGCCUCCCAGCUUAAAGCGACUUGUGCGACAUAUGCAACCUCAAGCGUCUGAUAUGGGUCAUACUCAUUCUGCUGUUGCUGUAAUUGCUCGUAGUCCUCUUGAAGCCCAUCUCUCUUCUUUAAAGAGAGGUUGCGGAGGGUCAACGCCAGCUUCUUAGAUGACGAUCUUGGUGACUUUUUACUAAUGUCCAUUGAUCCUGUUUCAUUACGUGCAUGCAUCAAAUUAGCAAGCAAAGGGAAGAAUCGCAUAUUCGCAUGCAUUGACCGCAACCAAAAUCCAAAACUGCUGCCAAAUUGAACAGAGUUAUCAAGUAAAAGAUUUUCCCACACAGUAGGGACCUUUGCACAAGCACAAACAUAAUACCCUUUGCACAAGCACAUAAAUGCGACACAAUACGCAUAUUAUGGAAAUAAGUAGUCGCAUUAGAUAUAAAUAGUUAGAUUUCUCAAUGCCCGGGUAUGAAUAAACUAUUGUACAAAAGAAAGCAACAACUCAACAACUGCAGUUAAAUAUUACCAUAUCAUCCAUCCCCUGCCAUUUUUUUUUUUGGUUUACCUGCUUCUUCCAAAAUCUGGGAGCUCAUUUUAUCAAAGAACAGCAUCCGCUCACAAUAUUUAUCAUACAACGUAUCAAAUCCGCACCACGGAUACCCGUCCACCACUUCCGAUUCCCUCCACUCGCUAGAACUACUCUCUUCUUCCUCCUCCUCCUCUUCUUCUUCUUCUUCCUGGUACCCUUCUUCUUCAGGAAUCAGCACCAUGAAACUGUUCUUCCGCAAUUCCUUCAACCUCCGCUUCACCUCAUUCGUGAUGAAGUCGUCGUCGUCGUCAUCUUCAGCUUCGAUAGCAGGGUCCGAAGGAUCAGCUGGUUUUGAAAUCGGAUCUGAGAUCGCAUCGCUCGAUGCAUCGGCGGUCGAAUUAGGGUUUCCAGCAUUUGGGUCUUCUGCUUCUUCGUCUGCGUACUUUCCCUGCUUUCGGAUUCUCCGAAACCUCCUUAUCUUGAAGAAAUCCAUACUAAGCUUGUGGAUCAAGCUCAAUCCAAAAAAAAAAAAUCUCACCUUUUUUCUCUUUCUCUUAAAAAGGUUAUAGCUUUUCUUUUUAGAAACGGGAAAGGGAAAGGAUAAGGAGGAGAACGAAGAGGAAGAGAGAGAGGAGGUAGGAUAAAAGGAGUAGGAGGGCGAAGAGAAAGAAGAGGAGGAAGAGAUCGCUGGAAACUUCGAGAUCCGCGGCGAAGUCCAAGCCACGGCUCAUCAAACAAAGAAGUGAUGCGAGAAACCCUAGGGAGAUCCCAAAUGGAGAUACGAAACCCUAGAAAUCGAGCUGUAAGAGCUUAUGCACAAACCAAGAUGAAGCUAAAGAGAUCCGAAAACCCAAGAAGAACCCCAAAUGGAGAUCCAAAACCCUAGAAACCCACAAUGCAACUCCCCAAAUCGGAAAAAUCGAAGUAUCGGCUACAUUACAGCUUACGGAGACGAGGCGACUGCAUUCUACUUGCGGAACCUCCCCAAACCCUAGAAACCCAUUGUUGGAGCAAAAGGCUAGGGUUAGGGUUAGUGUUAGGAUUUGGGAGAAGGGGAGAGAAGUGGAAGAAGAAGACGACGAAGAUGGCGAGGAAUUGGGGCGAGGAGAAGCACGAGGAUCGCGAGGCGAUUUUUUGCAUUUAAUCGGCGCGGGAGAGGUUUAAGAAGCGGGUAAUUUGCUAAUUAGUUAAACGUAGGGGGUUAAUAGUGUUAAGGGGCAAAUAAUUAGGGGAAAUUGUUUCCUAGACCCAAUGUAUCCCCACAUCUCAUGAACCUCAUCUAAAUUACUUAGUUUGAAAAUUCAUACAGAGGAAUCAUGUAGCCGUAAUAAGUUAGAUUUUAAUUUGUGAAAAAUUAGAUCUCUAAAAUUUAUAAUUUUGCAUACGUAAAUUUUUAAAAUACUAUAAAAUUUAUUCAAUAAGGUAGAUUUUGGUAUUAAAAUUCUGAUCACAAAAUUUAUAAUUUUUCAUUUAUGUCGUGUGUGAGAUGUACUUACACACCCGAUAAAAAUAGUAAUUUUUUAUUAGAAAAAAUUAUUUUUUUUCUGUCCCUAUUUGUUAUGCACCACACCUAAUUUUUAACAAUUAAUAUUUUGAAAUAAAAUUUUAAUUAGAUAAAUAUGAUAUACACCAUCUAAAUAGCCCAUUUAUAAAUAAAAGAAAUUAAAAAAAUUUUACUAAGAUAUUUAGUAGUUCUAAUAAUUAAUGAUAAGAAAAAGAUAUUAUUUAAUUUGUGAGAAUUAUGUUACUUUUAUUUUUAGG
rnacentral:lncRNA from 1 species